rnacentral:snRNA from 1 species
AUCCUAGUGCACGGGUUUUACACGUAUCAGUGAGGAGACAUCCGAGAUCGUGUUUUUGCUAGUUGAAAACUACCAAAUUGACCACUCUGUCUGGUCUUCGGAUCGGACAGGAAUUUUUGAACAAACAAGUU